UGGAAACAUCCAUUAUAGACUUACAUUAUUAUUCUCCUCACAAUCUCAUGAACCUAAAAACUCUCUUCAACAUUCUCUUUGCCCUCAUUGUGCACACAAACCCUUUUCGACAUUCUCCUUACCUUCGUCAUGCACCCAAACCCUCAUUCUCUUUUCCCUCAUCACGCACCCAAACCCUCAUUAUCCUUACCCUCAUCACACACCCAAACCCGAUUCGUCCUCCAUCGUGCCAGAUGCUUGGGCGACGAGCGAAAACCACCAAUGAGAUUCUCCAUCGUAUACAGCCAACGCUCGUCACCGACUGCAAGUGGAUGGAGGUCGUCGAUUACGUCUAGAGACUCAUCCGAGGCAGCUAGUUGGUGGUUUGGCUAAGUUUGCUCUUGGUAAUGGUUGGUUAUCGGGGCAACUAAAUGUGAAAUAAAAUGUAGUGUGAUUGGUUGUGACUUUGGUUUUUCUGCUCUAAUGAUGUCAUGGUGAAAUCCUGAGGCCAAGUAAGGAUGAACACUUCCAAACAAUAGUUAUUUGCUUUUUUACUGGAGAUGGACUAGUGUUAUCGUUAGUUUUUUGAAUAUUUUUAUUUGCAUUUUACAAUUUUUUUGUUUUAAUUAUACAUUUAUUAAACCGAUAUAUGAAUGGGAAGAUGAAGUAAUGACAUGAUUCUUUCUAUCUAAUUGGGUAUAUCAUUGCUGAUGUUAAUUUUUCUGUUACAAGUUUUUCCAUGUGGGUCAAUUCCAUUUAAAACAUAUCUUCCAGAUAGAGAUAUUGAUUUGACCUCACUCAGUUGUCAAAACAUUGAGGAUAGCUUGGUAUCAGAUGUUCGUGUUGUACUUCAUGGAGAGGAAGUCGAUGAAGCUAUUGAAUAUGAAGUAAAGGAUGCUUGUUUCAUUGAUGCAUAGGUUCUUUCCACUCAUAAUUGGUGCCUUAUCAGAAAUUGAAUGCAUCAUAGUUUGAAAAAUAUUCUAUGCCAAUUGCCAAAGUAAAUUAGAAAUUAAAAGUAAUGAGCCUAAAAAAUGUUGAAUAUGCAUUUUCUUUUAUUUAUAUUAUAUUACAUCCCAUUUGUAUCUGAUAUUAAGUAAAUUAUGUUCUUAUAAUUUUAGAUUGAUCGACUUGUUGCCUAUUGAAUUGCAUUUUAAUGUUAUGUGGCUAGGUUGUAUAAUGGUAUUAUUUACCUAGUUUUAAAAUGUUAUCUUUCUUUUUUAAGGUUUUCUUUAAUUGAUCCUUUUAGGAAGGGGAGAAUUCAUAUUAAUGAACACAUUGAGAAAUAGCUAUAUUCCUCUUUUUCAAGGAUAUUUAAAUGUGAUAUAAUAUAUCAAUAUGAAUAAUUACACAUGAAGUAGUUGAUGCAGUACCAAUAUUAGAUGUGGCUGUUGUUAAAGGCAUUGGUACAUAAUUUGCUACAGUUCCGAAUUCUGGUCUUGAUGCUAAUGUGGGCUCAAACCAAGUUGCUGAAAUGGCUGAUGGGAUUAACACAUGCUAACUCUACGAUUGAUGGUUUUCAGGAUUCAGGUUUAACAAGGCCAAUUAAUUUGGCUAAUACCAUUAAUACAGAUGAAAUAAUUGCACCAGAAGUGGUAGCUAAUGAGAGAAAAGUUGCUACUCAAUAUGGCCAAACCAGAAAUAAUCUAGUCGGUGCUGACAUGGAUCACGUUGUGACUGAUCAGUUUGCCUCCAAUAAAGUUGCAGCACCAAGUGAAGUUUUGAUUAUUUUGUAAUAGAACUUUGAUUUGGUUGUUGUUGACUCUGAUAAUAAAUUUACAAAUAUUUAGAAGAAGGAUUAGUUGUACAAUAAUACAGCUCUAGAAAAAGAAAAAGACACUUAUUUAGAAGAGGAACAAAAUAACAUUGAUCCCCCUUUAUAUCACAUUUAAAUUCUUUUUUUUUUUUUUUGGCUUGUUCAUGUUGUAGAUGUUGAAGAUUUCUACAACCAAUGUGAUACUGAGAAGGAGAAUUUGUUCUUAUAUGGAUUACCUAAUGAGCACUGGGAAGUAAAUUUGUUCUGGGCAUUAACUUUGCUAAGGAUGGCAUGCAGGAAAAAGACUGGUUAUCUUUAGUUGUUGUUCAUAGUGACACAUGGUUACUUGACCUUGCCUUUUAUUUUGGAGCCAAAUUUGGAUUUGGUAAAACUUACAAGUAUAUUUUACAUUGAGCAUAACUCUUAUAUUCAUGUCAUACUUGUCUAAUUUAUCACAUUGGUUCAGUCAAGUUUGUGACUUUGCAUUGGAUUAAUUUUACUUUUUUUUCCUGGUUAAGUAUGAGUUUUCUUUUUGCUCAGGUAAUUGUGUACCAUAAACAUCUGAUUUUGAUUGGCGGUGUGGUAUCAAUAUCAUUCCCAUUUGCAAAUUCGAUUA